rnacentral:rRNA from 1 species
UACGAAGGGGGCUAGCGUUGUUCGGAAUCACUGGGCGUAAAGCGCACGUAGGCGGAUUGUUAAGUCGGGGGUGAAAUCCUGAGGCUCAACCUCAGAACUGCCUUCGAUACUGGAAAGCUCGAGUCCGGGAGAGGUGAGUGGAACUGCGAGUGUAGAGGUGAAAUUCGUAGAUAUUCGCAAGAACACCAGUGGCGAAGGCGGCUCACUGGCCCGGUACUGACGCUGAGGUGCGAAAGCGUGGGGAGCAAACAGG